rnacentral:misc_RNA from 1 species
UUCGGUUACAUUCAUUAAAUCUGUAAACCAGAGUAACAUCAAACCAUGUCUAAUGGUUCCUAAUUCUAUUUUCUUCGGCCUAUAUGGAAAUCUAAACAUGUGCAGAUUUAUUGUCUGAAGUUAUUUUUUAAUCAUUGGUAGUAGCGCAAUUAAUUUGGAUGGGUUUCUGGAACACAAAGUUUAAAAUUGCCGACGAGGUUUGCUCAAGGAUUCUUCUCAGAAAGCGACCGUUUCAGAGUGUCCAAAAGGCUGGGUUUCGCGUGGAAAGUCAUGUUACCUCGUGAUCGACGUUCGAGUCUUGAAGUGGAGUGAGGCGCGAAGAACAUGCCAGAAUUUGGGAGGAGACCUUGCCGUCAUCAAAU